AACGAACGCUGGCGGCAUGCCUAACACAUGCAAGUCGAACGAGACCUUCGGGUCUAGUGGCGCACGGGUGCGUAACGCGUGGGAAUCUGCCCUCUGGUACGGAAUAACCCAGGGAAACUUGAGCUAAUACCGUAUAAUGACUUCGGUCCAAAGAUUUAUCGCCUGAGGAUGAGCCCGCGUAGGAUUAGCUAGUUGGUGAGGUAAAAGCUCACCAAGGCGACGAUCCUUAGCGGUCUGAGAGGAUGAUCAGCCACACUGGGACUGAGACACGGCCCAGACUCCUACGGGAGGCAGCAGUGGGAAUAUUGGACAAUGGGCGAAAGCCUGAUCCAGCAAUGCCGCGUGAGUGAUGAAGGCCUUAGGGUUGUAAAGCUCUUUUACCCGGGAUGAUAAUGACAGUACCGGGAGAAUAAGCCCCGGCUAACUCCGUGCCAGCAGCCGCCGU
rnacentral:rRNA from 1 species